rnacentral:snRNA from 1 species
GUACUUACCUGGCAGGGGAGAUCCCAGAAUCACGAAGGUGAUUUUCCCAGGGCGAGGCUUGUCACUCCGGAUGUGCUGACCCCUGCGAUUUCCCCAAAUGUGGGAAACUCGACGGCAUAAAUAAAAGUAAAAAAAUGAAAAAACUUUUUU